CCUAUGAUUCAUAAGAAGCCGUAUUGUAGAAGGUUUCUCAUAAGUUCAUCGCCUUAAACUAAGGAACAACAAAUAGAGACUUAAGAAUCUUGGCCCUACGACAAUGAAGUUUCGAUAUGCUAUCCUUGUUUGCCUGUGCUAUUUCGCCUUCGAUUUGAUUGUACAGAGCUCAAGCAUUCCAGAAACAGAAGGGGGAAAAGGCACAGAAGGUCAAGAAGGGACAGAAGGUCAAGAAAGGACAGAAGGUCAAGAAAGGACAGUGACAACCGGAAAUCAAGCAAGCGAUGGGUGCAAGAAAAUUGGCAAACUAUGCAGAACUGAUAGCGAUUGCACUGGAAUUUGUAAAAAUAAAUCGCUGGCAUGUAUGAAGGCAUCAUCAGGCCUAAAGAUUCCGACUAAAAAGUGCAAAUUAAUAUAAUGAACUAACAAAGGUCAAAUAAAAUGCAGUUUCCCGUCUAA
rnacentral:lncRNA from 1 species